ACACUGACACACACACACACCAAACACCAAACACUAAAACACUUACAGCCCAGAGGAUGAAACUGCUAAGAUCUAGUAUGCAGCUCUGCCAGACAUUGUUUUUAUUUUUUUCCCUCUUUGACAUGACUCAGGGUUCCUCUCAACUUGUCCGAGUGGUUCCUGUUGAGAAUGACGGCAUCUUUCAACAUGAUGUGUAUCAAUGUAUAACAGAACCUGAGAUGGAAAACCCAAAAUACAGCUGGAGCAGAAAGGAUUGGUCUGGACUUCCGGAAGGAGUCAAAGCAGAAAGGGAUUUUCUAUAUUUCUUAACAUCGACUCCUGAUCACAAUGGUCUGUACAUCUGUGAGGUUGUGAACCAUAAGGGUGCUGCAGCAGGUUCACUCUAUCGACACAUCAAAAUAGGGAACAGCUCUGAAAUUCAUUCAGAGUUCUAACAGGUGACAGAGAAGAAGCUUCCUGGAAAAAUGUGAAAAAAUACUCCUCAGGAAGAAACAGGAAGAAAAUGAUUUUUUAUUGAUUUGUGAAAUAUAAUAUAUAAAGCACACAUACAUGCCCAAAUUAAAAUAAAUAAUUAUGAGCCAUUAAUUGUUUUGCUAUUCUUCUUCUUCUUCAUUCAUUCAUCUUCUACCACUUAUCCGAACUACCUCGGGUCACGGGGAGCCUGUGCCUAUCUCAGGUGUCAUCGGGCAUCAAGGCAGGAUACACCCUGGACGGAGUGCCAACCCAUCACAGGGCACACACACACACUCAUUCACUUGGGACAAUUUUCCAGAGAUGCCAAUCAACCUACCAUGCAUGUCUUUGGACCGGGGGAGGAAACCGGAGUACCCGGAGGAAACCCCUGAGGCACGGGGAGAACAUGCAAACUCCACACACAAAGGUGGAGGCGGGAAUCGAACCCCAAUCCUGGAGGUGUGAGGCGAACGUGCUAACCACUAAGCCACCGUGCCCCCUCUUCUUCUUCUUCUUCUUCUUCUUCUUCUUCUUCUUCUUCUUCUUCUUCUUAUUAUUAUUAUUAUUAUUAUUAUUAUUAUUAUUAUUAUUAUUAUUAUUAUUAUUUACAUCCUUGAACAAGCUUGUGAUACAACAGUUCAGAUUCUCAGUUGAAUUGAGGUCUGAACUUUGCUUUGGCCAAUUAUCAGAUAUUUAUGUUCAUUGUUUUGAAUCAAGAAUUGUGUAGCAUUGUCUGUAUGUUUAGGAUUGUUAUCCUAUUAGAAAUUGAACAUCUGGACCAUUUUCAAGUGCCUUUUGGACUGGAACCCUAACCGGUUUCCCAGUCCCUGCUGGUGAAACUCAUCUCCACACAAUGAUGCUUCCAACAUCAUGCAACACAGGAUGAUGUUCUAGAGAACCACGUUUGUUCUUGUGUUUCAUUAAUGGCUUUCUACUCAAGUUGUUGUUUUGUAGAAAGUGUCCCAGGCUAUGGCUGUCCUGUGAAUGUUUCAGGAUAAAGAUAGCAUUAUCAGAGAAUGUUACAAGUUUUAACAUACAAUUUUUCAUGGUAUCAUAAAAUUAUGAACACUAAUAUUUAAUGAUAUAAUGUUAAAAAAAGGUGUUCAUGGUAUUGCCAGGUUAAAAGUGCUAAUUCAUUGGGUUGGAAAUAAUCAAAAAUAGUAUGUUAAAAUUAGAAUCUAAUUGUAAAAUUUUUUAAAAUUAGACUCUAAUCUAGUUUCUUUUCCUUCAACUUAAGGAAGCCUGCUCGUUUUUCUUUACUCAUCUGAAGUCAUAUGAUUUCAAAGAAAGGCAGCGUAUGUGUGUGGGAUGUUGUGUAAUAUGUAAAACUACUACACUUAUCUGAAAAAAUCCAAAGUUCAAAGUUAUGUACUUUUAAAGUUAUCUAUUAGUUUUGCACAACGUACUUUAUAAUAUAUAGUAUGCACACUGGUGUAUUUGUCUUGUAGUGUUUUGUAUUGUCUGCUUUUUGUCUCACACUGUUGCACCAGGUUGCUUGUUGCACUUUAUGUGGCUAGAAAUUUUGUAGCUCUGUGUUUGUUUUUGUGACCUUGGAGAAAAGUUGUUUCAUUUCAGUGGGUUCUACGUUAGCUAUAUAUGGUUGAAAUGCCAAUAAAAGAUUCUUGACAUGA